GGCUCCAUGUGCGUCCCUCCCAAAGCUGUGUGCUCGGUGGAAGAGGAUGACCAUCCCAGAUAGGAGUGUACUGUUCUUCGGUCAAGGGUAUACGAUAGCUGUGUUCCCCUGCUAGAACCUCCAAACCAGCUUGAGAGUAUACCUAUAUUGUUCUGCAUCUCUCUCU